CCUACGGGUGGCAGCAGUGAGGAAUAUUGGUCAAUGGGCGCGAGUCUGAACCAGCCAAGUAGCGUGAAGGAUGACUGCCCUAUGGGUUGUAAACUUCUUUUAUAUGGGAAUAAAGUGCAGUACGUGUACCUUUUUGUAUGUACUUUAUGAAUAAGGAUCGGCUAACUCCGUGCCAGCAGCCGCGGUAAUACGGAGGAUCCGAGCGUUAUCCGGAUUUAUUGGGUUUAAAGGGCGCGUAGGAGGGCUGUUAAGUCAGUUGUGAAAGUUUGCGGCUCAACCGUAAAAUUGCAGUUGAUACUGGUAGUCUUGAGGGCAGGAGAGGUAGGCGGAAUUCGUGGUGUAGCGGUGAAAUGCUUAGAUAUCACGAAGAACUCCGAUUGCGAAGGCAGCUUACUGGACUGGAACUGACGUUGAUGCUCGAAAGUGUGGGUAUCAAACAGGAUUAGAUACCCGGGUAGUC
rnacentral:rRNA from 1 species